GUUCAAUAUAAUAAUUUGAAUAUUAUUUGAAAAAUUUUCAGUACUAACGAAUUUAAAUCAAAAGAUGAUUUUACGCUACCAUGUCAUCCAAAAUUAGACUUCACAUCUGGAAUUACCAGACUAUGUCGUUAUGUAGCUAUAUUUUGUGAAAUUUUGAAAUUUUAUGAAAAUUGUUGGUAAAUCUAGUUAAGGCAUAAACCAUCGAUAGUCAAAAUAAACUAUUGAUGAUAAGACGAAAAUUAAACUACCGACAGUCCCAUUGUUUGUUUUGCAGAUCAAAACCAGUUAACACCUAUGCAUUAAUAUAAAGAACCAGUCCAAAAAAUAUAUUUCUGCACCAAUCAUUUCGAAUUUGGUUUAGAACCAGUUGCUUUAAAACACAACUCAAAGACGGUUCAAUGUAUCGGUGUUCGAGUGUCUUUAAGAACAACUGUUCUAGCUCAUCUCCACCAACCAAAUUUGAAAAUGCUUGCGUGCAGUGCAGUGAAAAAACUCAAUUUGCACACAACAAGGCCAUAAUGGAAGCUCUGACAGAACAAUAGGUCUUGACACAAAAUUUCAUUCGUCAGGAGUUAAUAAGGGCGUCUAUAGCUGAUUUUUGCCAUUGAAAGAUUGGAAGCAAGCUUGAAGGCAUUGGAAGAAAAAAUCGCGAAAUUUUUAAACUUUUGUGUCACACGCAAUUUAAAAAUAUGAGUCAUACAAUGCCAAUUGAGCCAUAAUUGGACGGAAGAAACGCAAAAAUAAACAAAUCUUUCGUAAUAUUUGUGCUGCUCUUUAAGAUGGGCCAUUAUAAGAUUGGAAAAUAUGAAGUAUUCUAAGAAGACCGUACCAUCGAGAUCCGUAUGUUCGUGUUCAAGAAACAAUUGCGCCUGUUUGGCCGGCAAUUCAGGCAAAUACAAGAGUUUCGACUCACAGCUAAUCGGCGCAACUUGGAGUUAGCAGACAAUCAUUACAAAGGAUAACUCAUGAUGACUUAAAACUGUUUCCGUACAAAAUUCAAAGAACAAGCCGGUUGAAACCUGUAGAUUUGCCUAUUUGCCAGGAAUUUUGCUAAAAAACGAUUGAAAUGGUCGAAGAGGACAAUAACUUUAUAAAUUGGCUAUUUAUGUCUAAUGAGACCCGUUUUGAUCUAAACGGAAAUGUAAACAAGCAAAAUUGACGUAUAUGGAAUGAUUCAAAUCCAGAAAUAAUCGGACGGAACGUAUUGUCGGGCCAUACUUCUUUGAAGAAAAUGGUGUAACAGUAACUGUAUAUGUUCACCGUUAUUAAAAGAUGUUGAAUUAGUUUUUUUUACGCAAGACUGAGCUGAAGACGUAUCCUUUUCAAUAGCGUUUGAUCAGAGAACUCCAUCUUGCUGGAAUCAAACUAGAGAACUUAAAACAGCGAGAAGGUGCAGGUUCGACAGCGAACAAUUUGUAGGAUUUUAUCAAGGAGUUCAUCUCACAUGCACAAGA